GACGAACGCUGGCGGCGUGCUUAACACAUGCAAGUCGAACGGAAAGGCCUCUUUCGGGGGGUACUCGAGUGGCGAACGGGUGAGUAACACGUGAGUAACCUGCCCUUGACUUUGGGAUAACUUCAGGAAACUGGGGCUAAUACCGGAUAGGAGCUCCUGCUGCAUGGUGGGGGUUGGAAAGUUUCGGCGGUUGGGGAUGGACUCGCGGCUUAUCAGCUUGUUGGUGGGGUAGUGGCUUACCAAGGCUUUGACGGGUAGCCGGCCUGAGAGGGUGACCGGCCACAUUGGGACUGAGAUACGGCCCAGACUCCUACGGGAGGCAGCAGUGGGGAAUAUUGCACAAGGGGUGGAAGCCUGAUGCAGAAACGCCGUGGGCGGGAUGACGGCCUUCGGGUUGUAAACCGCUUUCGCUCAUGACGAAGCUUUGUGUGACGGUAGUGGGUAAAGAAGCACCGGCCAACUACGUG
rnacentral:rRNA from 1 species